GUGGCCCUCAAGUCUGCCGAGGUCUACCCCUCCUUCUGCAGCGCCUCUUGAAGACUCACAACCUCGACAAUCUUCUCCUCGAGGCAGGCGACCUCAGCGAGGUGACCUUCCUCUGCCUGGGUGGCCUCCUUCCUAGCAUCGUUCAUCGCCUCGAUGUUGGCGAUGAGCUGGUGUCCAAUCUGCAAGAGCGGCCAGGGAGUCAAUAUAAAAGCUGAAGAAUAAGCAAAGU
rnacentral:lncRNA from 1 species